rnacentral:lncRNA from 1 species
UUUUGACACCACAAUAUUAGGAAAUAUUAGUUCAUCAACCCAUUCUAUUAGGGAGUAUUGUUUUGACACUACAAUAUACUCAUUCCAUUUUUUAUAAUAAAUCGUUUUGAUACUUUUAUAUGUAUUAACAAAUGAAACCAUUCUAAUAUGACUAACUGAAUUUUGGAAGGAAUUCAUAAAAUUGUUUUUCAUUCAUAAUAUUCAAAAAAAUAAAUUUAAAAAAUUG